UAAGUUACUGAUUGAUGCCAAACUCAAUUUGACGGAAGUUGGUAAUACUGUUCUGCUAGAGGGCAGAAGAGGUUGAUGGAAUUCUGUGAGGAGCGGUGAAAUGCGUUGAUCUGCAGAGGAACACCAAAAAAGGCGAAGGCAUUCAACUAUUCUGUUCCUGACAUUGAGGCAUGAAAGCGUGGGGAGCAAACCGGAUUAGAUACCCGGGUAGUCCACGCCCUAAACGAUGAGCAUUAGAUAUUAGACGUUAAGUUUAGUGUCGCCGCUAACGCUGUAAAUGCUCCGCCUGGGUACUACGGCCGCAAGGCUAAAACUCAAAGGAAUUGACGGGGACCCGCACAAGCGGUGGAGCAUGUGGUUCAAUUCGAUACGACGCGCAGAACCUUACCAAGGCUUGACAUGGAGGGCAAAGUUGAAGAAAUUCAACAGAGGUUAUCCCGACACAGGUGGUGCAUGGUCGUCGUCAGUUCGUGCUGUGAAGCGUAUGCUUAAGUGCUAUAACGAACGCAACCCUCAUAUUUAGUUGCUACCAUUCAGUUGAGAACUCUAAAUAGACUGCUAAGAAAACUUAGAGGAAGGUGAGGAUGACGUCUGG
rnacentral:rRNA from 1 species